GAUGAACGCUAGCGGCAGGCUUAACACAUGCAAGUCGUGGGGCAGCGCGGACUUCGGUCUGGCGGCGACCGGCAAACGGGUGCGGAACACGUACGCAACCUCCCUCAGAGCGGGAAUAGCCUCUCGAAAGAGAGAUUAAUACCCCAUAGUAUCUUGAAGACACAUGUCUAUGAGAUUAAAGCUUCGGCACUUUGAGAUGGGCGUGCGGCUGAUUAGGUAGUUGGUAGGGUAACGGCCUACCAAGCCGACGAUCAGUAGCUGAUGUGAGAGCAUGAUCAGCCACACGGGCACUGAGACACGGGCCCGACUCCUACGGGAGGCAGCAGUGGGGAAUAUUGGUCAAUGGAGGAAACUCUGAACCAGCCAUGCCGCGUGAGGAUGAAGGUCCU
rnacentral:rRNA from 1 species